CACAUUCGGGGCCGCUUCGGCGCUCCUUAUACCACACCCACCCUCUGCCUACGUGUACCUCUAUAGCUUCCUCGGCGGGCUCGCCCGCCGCCAGGAACCCCACGAAACCCCCUUGCAUUUAUACGCGAAAACUUCUGAUAACAAACCUAAAUUAUCA
rnacentral:misc_RNA from 1 species